rnacentral:rRNA from 1 species
UACGUAGGCAGCGAGCGUUGUUCGGAGUUACUGGGCGUAAAGAGUGCGUAGGCGGUUUUCUAAGUUUGGUGUGAAAUCUCCCGGCUUAACUGGGAGGGUGCGCCGAAGACUGGAAGGCUUGAGUAUGGGAGAGGUAAGCGGAAUUCCUGGUGUAGCGGUGAAAUGCGCAGAUAUCAGGAGGAACACCGAUGGCGAAGGCAGGUCUCUGGGCAUUAACUGACGCUGAGGAGCGAAAGCAUGGGGAGCGAACAGG